rnacentral:rRNA from 1 species
UACGGGGGGGAGCAAGCGUUGUUCGGAUUUACUGGGCGUAAAGCGCGCGUAGGCGGCUGGGGAAGUCGGUGGUGAAAGCUCGUGGCUCAACUACGAGUCGGCCAACGAUACUCCUCGGCUCGAGCACUGUAGAGGCAGGUGGAAUUCCGGGUGUAGCGGUGGAAUGCGUAGAGAUCCGGAAGAACACCGGUGGCGAAGGCGGGUCUCUGGGCAACAACUGACGCUGAGGAGCGAAAGCGUGGGGAGCGAACAGGAUAGAAACCCUAGGUAGUCCAAGACC